rnacentral:lncRNA from 1 species
CUUUUAUUUAUGUUUAGUUUUAAGAUAUGAUUAAGGUAGGAUUUCAAAUAAUACCAUGAGAUUGGUUGAGAUGUUGCAUUUAUCAAGAGGAGUCAGUGGUUUAACGGUUUGGGGAACCCUCACCUACCAUGUAACAAGUUUCUGAGAAACUAGAAAGUUCUCAAUGGAAGGUCUUGGGAUCGUAGAGAAAGAGUGUGACAUUUAGCACCAUAUAUUAUGCUCAGAAGUAUUAGCACAUUUGAAAAAUUUUUUCCGUAGAUCCUUUUACUAUUGGAUUGUGUAUAUAGACCUAGUGACUGUGUGCCAGGGAUGAUUGUAUUUUCUUUCUUUCCUCAGGUAAUUUAGUGUUUGCUUGACAAGAUCAACUUGCAAAAAAGAGAUAUAGACAAGUCAUCUUGUUUUUUAUCCAGUAGAUUAGAACAAAAUAAUAUCCUAAGUGAUUAAUGUUUUCAAGGAAAUUCAGAGAAAAAAACACAACUUUUGAAAAAUGUCACGUAUUUUUUCUGUACUCCAGUUGGAGCCAAGUCUAUAAAUUUUUUUUCAGUUUGAACUUAGAUAUUUGAGAUUAAAAACAAUGGAUCGUUCAACCUACUGCUAGAUGGCUGAGCCCAGGCUCAUUUCUGUUCAGGGAACCACACCACCCAUCAUCAGUUGUCAUACUGUCAUGGCUGCCUGUUGCCAUGAUGCUGAAAGCUGUGCCACCAGUAUUUCAAAUACCACUAGGGUCACCCAUGGUGGACAAGUUUCAGCAGAGCUUCCAGAUGAAGACAAACCAGGAAGAAGGACCUCGCCACCUACUUCUGAAAAAUUUGCCGUGAAAACCCUAUGAAUAGCAGUGGAGGAUUGUCUGAUACAGUGCCGGAAGGUGAGAGGAUGGUGCAAAAAGGCCAGGCGGGGUUCCACUCUGCUGUACACAGAGUCACUAGGCGCUGGAAUACACUUAAG